rfam:Chlorocebus sabaeus isolate 1994-021 chromosome X, whole genome shotgun sequence.
UCAGUAGGGAACUGACCCUCUAUUUCUACCUGCAUUAAUGAAGCUGAAUGAGGUGGUAGGAUGUAGAGUUAGUUGACACUCUGCUUC